rnacentral:lncRNA from 1 species
AGUCUCCCUGCAGCUUCAAGUGGCAUCAAAGAGGGAAAAUGCGUCUGUUGAAUCUUUGUAUUGGUGUAUAAACCAGUCCUGACUUGGCCUGGAGCAAGACUGCUGAUGGCAAAUUGAGACCUGGAGACACAUCUCAUUGCCUGAUGGAUGGGAGAAGCCACCCAGCCAUGUUGCCUCAUUUUUCUCAGGAGGAGGGAGGACUAGACUUCUGUUCAGAGGAAAUAAAGCACAGGGUCAGAGGUCAGAGGGCAUUAGUCUAUAAAGUUUUAUGACCUGUAGCUGACAGUUAUUUCUCUUGGAUAAAGGAACAAGAGGAAAAAAAGACAACUUGUACUUGUUCUCUUUCUCAUUUCUUAUCUCUCUCUGAAUUUAAUUUCCUUGUUGCAUUCGAUCCCAAAACAUUGCUUUCUCAGCAUUUCUAUUAUUUAGUCUUCACUAUCUCAUUCAUUUUUACUACUGUUUGCUCCAGAAUUCUAUUUCCCUUUUCUCAGUCGUGUUAUUACUGUUUUAUUUGUUUCAGCCAGCUUGUCAUCCUUCUCCAGGAACUUACUGUUAGCAAAGACUUGCUUACUGACAAAUUCCUGCCUCCUUGAAGAAAUGCUGAAUUAAAUUGUUGAGAUAAAUCCUUUAUGUUCUUGUAAAUUUUUUUCUAUUAUUAAGGUUAUUUUCUUAAUUUUAUAUUUAUUUUUGUAUUUUUACAUUUUAUUUUGGGCGUUGGAUGAUGGGAAAUAGACUGAAGGAUAACAAACAAUAGCUACACUAUCUUUUUAAACAUCUAUUUUUAAUGUUUUGCUCUCUAUUUCAUUAAAAAUUAUUGAAUAUUAGGCUUAAUUUUACAGACUUCUCUGCAAGUUUAAAAAUAAAAUGAACCUCAGUACAUGCAUCUAUGUAAUUUAUUUGGAAGAAGAUAUUUCUGAACAUUAAUGGAAAUAUGUUCAUUUUGGUUGUUUAAACCAUACAAAGAUUAUGAAUAAAAUAAAGAGUAGAUUAUAGAAUAAUAGAACUCUACAGACCUCCUAUGAACUUCAAAAGAAAAUUAAAAUAAAAAAAUGAGUCUGGAAUAGGAGUAAUGGAGAUCAGAGGCAGAGAGAUUGUUAUAGAAUGAAUUUGAGAUGAAUCAUGUGGCCCUUCAUGUCCAUCAGAAUCAUCAAUAACUGUCAUUUUCUGCGUGAUAGCUAGAACGAAAGCUUCUUUAAGGUAGCUCUGUGUCUUGUGUGGAGCUCUAUGUCUAGCCUCUAGCAUAAUUCCUGACACACAAGAAGUACUCAUUAAAUAUGUGCCCUGUGAGUCAAUGACUGAACACAAUUAUCAAAGACUUAUGGUAAUGGGAUUCUGAUUGCAGGAACCUCCUGUUCGCAUAUCUGUCCUCUAUCACACUAUAGCCCACAGUGUAGUUCUGGUGGUUCUCUAUGUGCACUGUGUUUUCUCACUUUAGGUUUCACCACUGUGCUGCCUGACUGGAGCAGACUCCACUCUCUAACCACCUUUACUUCCUUGCUUCUUUCAGCAUUACAUUUAGAUGACCCUCCUCAGGAGCUUGGUGAGGUGCUGCAACACAUAACAUGCAUCCGACUCUACUGGAGUUGCAUGUUUGACUUGCUAGACUAAAAGCAUCUUGAAGGUAAAAAGAGUGUCUUACACAGCUCUGUACUCUCAAUGCCUAGCCCAGAGCAUGAGACAAAAUAGAAGCUAACAUACCUGUUGAAUUAAUAAUGAAUGAAGGAGCAACAACAAAAACAGGAAGAAAUGGAAAGGAGAGAGUAGCAGAUAAUGGCAAGAACGGGUUGAAAAGCAGUCCUCUGCCUUUACCUUGAGAAUACAAAGCACAGUCUUAUACAACAAUUAAAUUGAUUUUGAUUCCAGUGCCCUCCUAUGUGGACCAUCUGGUUAGAUAUUUGUUGUUCUGAGAGAUUAAAGGUAAGGAAUAAGUUGGGUAGUGCAGAUUGUUCAGUUAAGAGUAUAAAUGACUGGAAGUGAGAGGUAGCAUCAUGUGUGGGCAUUGUCCCAGCCAAAAAGUGGGGAGGGCACUAUGGUGGAUUCUCCCACUCUACCUGCUAGAACUUAUGCCCCACUAUCCCUUAAUGCAUUCCUUCUCAUCUGGUUAAAUCUACAUGUUUACUGACUCUAUAAAAAUACCUUAUUAAUUUCUACUUUACCACCUUUUCUCAGUUUCCCUCUUUUCUGUUGUCUCUUCUCCCUCUUCUCACAUACAAAAAUAUGAUCCUUCAAAAAUCAGUUCAUAUUUUUCUGCCCUCAGACUAUUCUAAGAAGUGAAAAUGAAUCUAAGCCUGCUAUUUUCAGAACACCUGCAAUAUUGCCACCUACACUAUACAACUGAUAGAUGACAUAACUAUGAAUAACAUUGUAUUGCCCACUGCUUUAACCACUCAAUUUGUCUCCCAACCAGACUAUAAACUCUUUCAGUUCAGGUAUUACACUUUGAACUUUUUAUAAUCCUUUAAAGCACUUGGCCUAAUAACAUGCUAGUUACCCCAUGAAUAAUUGAUUGAGAAAUUGGGUUACUAGAUAACUUAUAUAUAUGUAACAUCAUCCUCAGACAGCUCUCUGAUUAUCCUACCCAAAUUUUUCUUUUGGAGCAUCCUGAUUUUAUGAUUUUAUAUGGAUAUAUGUAUGUAAUCAUAGAAAUGGUUAU